rnacentral:rRNA from 1 species
GGGGAAUAUUGGACAAUGGACGAAAGUCUGAUCCAGCGACGCCGCGUGGAGGAAGACGGCCCUAUGGGUUGUAAACUGCUUUUGUCAGGGAAUAAACCCCCGUACGUGUACGGGGCUGAAGGUACCUGAAGAAUAAGCAUCGGCUAACUCCGUGCCAGCAGCCGCGGUAAUACGUAGGUGGCAAGCGUUGUCCGGAUUUACUGGGUGUAAAGGGCGUGCAGCCGGGAAGGCAAGUCAGAUGUGAAAUCUGGAGGCUCAACCUCCAACACUGCAUUUGAAACUGCUUUUCUUGAGUAUCGGAGAGGUAAUCGGAAUUCCUUGUGUAGCGGUGAAAUGCGUAGAUAUAAGGAAGAACACCAGUGGCGAAGGCGGAUUACUGGACGACAACUGACGGUGAGGCGCGAAAGCGUGGGGAGCAAACA